GAUGAAGAACGCAGCGAAAUGCGAUACUUGGUGUGAAUUGCAGAAUCCCGUGAACCAUCGAGUCUUUGAACGCAAGUUGCGCCUCAAGCCAUUAGGUUGAGGGCACGUCUGCCUGGGCGUCACAUAUCGUUGCCUGAUGCCAGUUUCCUCGUGAUGGGUGACUGUGCAGGGCGAAUGAUGGCUUCCCGUGAGCAUUGUUGCCUCAUGGUUGGUUGAAAAUUGAGUCCUUGGUAGGGAGCGCCGUGAUAGAUGGUGGUUGAGUGACGAACGAGACCCAAUCAUGUGAGACCCCUACCGAAUUUGGCCUUCAUGACCCACAUGCGUCUUUGGAACGCUCAUGACGAGACCUCAGGUCAGGCGGGGCUACCCGCUGAGUUUAAGCAUAUCAAUAAGCGGAGA
rnacentral:misc_RNA from 1 species